UGGGGCGUAGCCAAGUGGUAAGGCACCGGGUUUUGAUCUCGGCAUGCGUAGGUUCGAAUCCUACCGCCCCAGCCA
rnacentral:tRNA from 1 species